UCGAACGAGAAAGCGGGGGCAACUCCGUGAGUAAAGUGGCGACCGGGUGAGUAACACGUGACUAACCUGCCCUCUAGUGGGGAACAACCUCGGGAAACCGGGGCUAAUACCGCAUAACAUCCGUGGGUGAAAUUCCUGGGGAUCAAAGGAGCAAUUCGCUGGAGGAGGGGGUCGCGGCUGAUUAGCUAGUUGGCGGGGUAACGGCCCACCAAGGCGAUGAUCAGUAGCCGGCCUGAGAGGGCGCACGGCCACACUGGAACUGAAACACGGUCCAGACUCCUACGGGAGGCAGCAGUGGGGAAUUUUGCGCAAUGGGGGAAACCCUGACGCAGCAACGCCGCGUGGAGGAUGAAGUCCCUUGGGACGUAAACUCCUUUCGACCGGGACGAAUAAUGACGGUAUCCGGUGGAAGAAGCCCCCGCGCUAACUUUCGUGCCACGCAGU
rnacentral:rRNA from 1 species